rnacentral:rRNA from 1 species
AUGAACUGCGCGAGCCUGCUGCUCCUGCUCUGCGUCCUCCUCCUCGCCGCGCUCGGCCCCUUCGCCGCCGCUGCACGCAGAGAACCAACAAUGGCGGCCACCGGCGACCAAGGAGAUAGUGCUCAGGCCAAGCUGGCCUGGAUGGGAAUGGCCCCUGCAAAGGGUCUAAAGCAGAGGGUGAUCAUGAGGAAGCAGGAGAGUACAGACUCUAACCGUUUCAGGACCAGAAAGUUUUCCUCGACUGCCAAGAAUCCAUUCGACGGCCGGUUGCCCUUCACCGCCGAUUACCACAACGUGCGCAGGCACCCGCCCUCGCACAACUAG